CGCUGGCGGCGUGCUUAAUACAUGCAAGUCAACUUGACUUUAGAUAGCAAUAUCGAAAGUAGGUGGCGCACGGGUGCGUAACGCGUAGGUAAUCUGCCCUGAGGUCUGACAUAACCCGUCGAAAGGCGGGCUAACAUCAGAUGAUAUAUAAUCACGACAUCGUGGAAAUAUCAAAUCUUCGGAGCCUUGGGAUGAGCCUGCGUCUGAUUAGGUAGUUGGCGGAGUAAUAGCCCACCAAGCCUACGAUCAGUAGCUGGUCUGAGAGGAUGAUCAGCCACACUGGAACUGAGACACGGUCCAGACUCCUACGGGAGGCAGCAGUAAGGAAUAUUGCUCAAUGGGGGGAAACCCUGAAGCAGCAACGCCGCGUGAAGGAUGAAAUACUUUGUAUGUAAACUUCUGUAAGAUGGGAAAAAUAUUCUCCUCGGGAGAAUUGAUUGUACCAUCAGAGUAAGCCCCGGCUAACUACGUG
rnacentral:rRNA from 1 species